rnacentral:miRNA from 1 species
CGGGGCGCUCGCAGCGGCAGGAGCCGGGUCCGGACCGCCCGGAGGCGGGGCCGGGGGCGGGGCGCCA